UGACAUCCUGUUGUGGUGUCAGAAUGGUAUAUAAAGCGGCCUAUUGGCACUCAUCAUCACUUGUGUCUAUGGCAAGCAAACUGAACAUUCUUUUCGAACGGGUUUGAGAUUCAUCUUUUUCUCAGCAACAAUCUGUUAACAACAGACAUACAUCAUAACACCAACAUGAAGUUCACAAUCGCCCUUCUGUUGAUUCUGCCCAUGGUUAUCAUAGCAAUGGUGGAUGCAAACCGAAUGAGCUGUGUCAUCUGUCAGAGUAAAUGCGCCAUCAGCGCGUGUGUUGAAAUUAACAAAUGCGUCGACGGAAGAGGAAAUGACUGUAAGAACUAUAUCAACAGAGCCUCUGUGCCCCCUUGCGUCGGGAAGGAGCUGACAAAAAGACGCAAGUGUCUCGAUGAUUGCCAGUGUUAAGUUUCAAAAGAGAAAAGUAAACAUGACUGUCUUUA